UUCUUUCCCACAAAUUUUCUACCAUUUUUUUCCUAGAUAAUUAUUUUUACUACAAAUUAAAACUGUGCAGAUUUGGGUUCCCUCCAUUAUUUCCCACCAUUUUUUUCAAAUACUUUUCACUAUAAAGUUUGGGUUUAAUUCUAAUUUCACAAGUAAACCCUAUAUUCUAAUUCGGUCACUAUUUGAUCUACUGCCAGAAGAUUCGAGGUCACCUUGUUGGCCAUUGGGUUGGAUUUCGAUUACUUCUCCUUGCUGAUUGAGACUGUUCUUUUCAUAUUAAGGCUUUUGCAAGGACUUUUAGCACGUUUGGCGGACCAGGUGGUCCUGAAGCCGGAGCAGAGGCUGCAAUUGGGGACAAUAUUGGUGCCGGAGGAGAAGAAAUAGUUGGUGGCGGUGAAGCCGGAGCAGAAGGUUGAGCUGGAGCCGAAGAUUGAGUUUGUGGCAUUGGAGCCAUAGCAGGCGCUUGAGUAAAAGUGCAAGUGAAUUGGGGCAAGAAAAGAAAGGAAGCAUCUCUUGGUAGACCAACCACUCGUAAAGAGAUACGUAAGAAAGACCCAUAUGAAAAUUAGAAAUGGAAAGAAGUCUGGGUCGAAACACGGGCAUAAGAUACUUGCAACUCAAAAGAAGUCGAUCGACAGAUGACCAAGGCAAUCCAAUCAUGCCAUCAAAGGAAGAAACUCUCUCCUGCUAGAUGGAUGUAGUUGGUGACAUGUGUAAGGAAAGGGCAUACCACCUUUGCUUUGAGAAGAACUUUUACCGUCUUCAGUGUGGAUUGCAAGGUAUAGAGAGUUCUGCCACCAUGUCAGAAGAGCAGCUUGAGGAGAUGCAAUAGAAAGUUCAGGAGCAUUCUAGGAAGUACGAGAGGAAAGAAAAAGAAGGAUGGAGGAGAAGCGGUGUAGGACGACAUUUAAGUCAGAGGUCAAAAAACUCAAGGCUCAAGUAAAUAUCUUAAUCAAGCUUCCUCACUCUUUGCCCCUAGCUCUGAUGAUGAUGGUAGAGAGGAUGAGGAUGGAAUGGAGUAUUAGGUUAUGUUGUUGUUUUAGGUUUGAAUUAUGUUAGGUUGGAAUGUUUGAAAAAAAAUUGUUUUGGUAAUUGUUUGCGUACCUUUUUUAUACUUGUUUA